rnacentral:rRNA from 1 species
AUGGUCGCCCACAGGUUCCACCAGUACCAGGUGGUGGGUCGCGCGCUGUCGACCCCCGGCGAUGAGCAGCCCAAGAUCUACCGCAUGAAGCUCUGGGCCACCAAUGAGGUCCGCGCCAAGUCCAAGUUCUGGUACUUCCCGAGGAAGCUCAAGAAGGUGAAGAAGGCCAACGGCCAGAUGCUCGCCAUCAACGAGACAAUGAGCUUUGUUUGUUCUUGUACUCUUUGUAUGUUCCUGGUCGCCACCGCCGACUGCGAGCGGGGGUCCUGGUCCUCUCCCUUGUCGUCCUCGACGGCGGCAUCGCGGCUUGGCGCCAUCUCCGUGCCCUGUGUCGACGUCAUGAUCAGCUUCACGGAUCACUGUCUUCACGAGGUUGGUCGAAGAGGGCUGGAGUUCAUGCCGUUCCUGCUGUCCCUGUCCGUGUUCCUCUUUGGCACCUCCUGGUUCAUCUUCGACCUCAUCUUGAUUGGUAAUGUGAAUGUCAAAACUAAAUUAUAA